ACAUAUGCCUUGAGUUGCUCUUCAGUGAAUAUCACUUUUCCUUUCAUGUUUUUUCUACAUGCUAUUAUCUGUAUGAAAUGAAGACCAAGAAAGGAUGGGAAGAAGGAGAAGAAAAAUUUUGAUUUAUCUCAGAAACUAUACUCCGAAGUGAGAGUCCUGGUUGCAGCAUCCUUCACCGAAGCACGAAGCAGAAUCAAGCUGUUGCCAUGAAGCUUGUUUCAAGAGCUCAGAAAUACUCCAGGGACUCCUUUACUACUGCUUUUCAAAGAGGCCUUUUUUUCUCUCUUCUCCUUUUCCUGCAAAGAGGGUUAUAUCCAGUGCUCAAGGACAUGGGAUUAUCAGCCUAAGGCAUGAGUACAUGCUGUGGAAACAGAAAUAUGUAUGAAGGGAUGUAUGAAACCACAGAAUAAAUGGAAUCCACAUUCUUGAAGUAGCUACAACUCUACUUGAGGUCCCAAGGCACGUAGAUAGUACCUAUACAUCUCAUCAGGAACAUGGAUGGUUCUCUGCUAUCAGCUGAAGUGCUGUGACCACAAAACUGAAAAUUCCCAUUCUGUGUCCUUGCCAAUAAAGAAUGUCCAUCAGAGCACGCCCAGUAUCCUAGCUCCUUAUCCAGACUGUGCUUCUCAAUGUGACAAGGAAGACUGCAACCCUAUUUGCUUCUGAUAACCUUCCUAUGACUAAGGUGUGCUACAACAACAUGACCCCAGCAAGCAAGAUUAUUUCUGUGCACUGAUAGGAAAAGGAAGCAAGCCAUGAGUGCCUGUUGAAGCUGGAAAAGCAAGAUUGAUGUUGAGGCUUGAUUGAAGGAGUGCAAGGUCACUCACAGAAGAAGUCAUGGUGCAAGAGUACAUCUCAAUCCUGCCCUAGCCUGGAAACAGCAUGCUCUGCUGCAUUUGCAUGCCCAAGGCACUGCUUGUCCUAAGCCCCAUCCUAGAAACUCUCUAUAGCUUUAUUUCCCUUAAGAAGGUAGAAAAACAUCAACAACCUAUCCGUACUAGCUGAAUGGCCUCUAGGCCUAUUGGGCAAGUACACCCAGAUGAGCAUCACUCUUAAGUGGCUGCUUCAGGUCAAGGUCUUUUGUGUUGGGGCAGCUGCAAACUGGCCUCUUUGGCUAUCCCAAGACCCUCUAAGUCCAAGGAGCUUUCAACCUCUAGUGAUGUUCAAUCUCUGUAAAGCUGUGUAAUGGGGGAUAAACAUUAAAGUUGUUUCACAUUUAAAAAAAAA
ensembl:lncRNA LINC02208 long intergenic non-protein coding RNA 2208